rnacentral:rRNA from 1 species
UGGGGAAUCUUGCGCAAUUGGCGAAAGCCUGACGCAGCGACGCCGUGUGCGGGAAGAAGGCCUUCGGGUUGUAAACCGCUUUCAGGAGGGACGAAGCCACUCAGGUUAAUAGCCGAGACGGUGACGGUACCUCCAGAAGAAGCCCCGGCUAACUACGUGCCAGCAGCCGCGGUAAUACGUAGGGGGGUAGCGUUGUCCGGAUUUAUUGGGCGUAAAGAGCGUGUAGGCGGCCGAGUAAGUCCGGUGUGAAAACUCGAGGCUUAACCUCGAGAUGUCAGCGGAAACGAUUCGGGUAGAGUCCGGAAGAGGAGAGUGGAAGUCCUGGUGUAGCGGUGAAAUGCGCAGAUAUCAGGAAGAACACCUAUGGCGAAAGCAGCUCUCUGGGACGGUACUGACGCUGAGACGCGAAAGCGUGGGGAGCGAACAGG